GACGAACGCUGGCGGCGUGCUUAACACAUGCAAGUCGAACGAUGAAGCGGUGCUUGCACCGUGGAUUAGUGGCGAACGGGUGAGUAAUACGUGAGUGACCUACCUUUGACUCUGGGAUAGGCCUGGGAAACUGGGUCUAAUACCGGAUACGACCAAUCUCUGCAUGGGGUGUUGGUGGAAAGCGUUAUGGAGUGGUUUUAGAUGGGCUCACGGCCUAUCAGCUUGUUGGUGAGGUAAUGGCUUACCAAGGCGACGACGGGUAGCCGGCCUGAGAGGGUGACCGGCCACACUGGGACUGAGACACGGCCCAGACUCCUACGGGAGGCAGCAGUGGGGAAUAUUGCACAAUGGGCGCAAGCCUGAUGCAGCGACGCCGCGUGAGGGAUGACGGCCUUCGGGUUGUAAACCUCUGUUAGCAUCGAAGAAGCGAAAGUGACGGUAGGUGCAGAGAAAGCGCCGGCUAACUACGUGCCAGCAGCCGCGGUAAUACGUAGGGCGCGAGCGUUGUCCGGAAUUAUUGGGCGUAAAAGCUUGUAGGCGGUUGGUCGCGUCUGCUGUGAAAGGCCGGGGCUUAACUCCGGUUUUGCAGUGGGUACGGGCUAACUAGAGUGCAGUAGGGGAGACUGGAAUUCCUGGUGUAGCGGUGGAAUGCACAGAUAUCAGGAGGAACACCGAUGGCGAAGGCAGGUCUCUGGGCUGUAACUGACGCUGAGAAGCGAAAGCAUGGGGAGCGAACAGGAUUAGAUACCCUGGUAGUCCAUGCCGUAAACGUUGGGCACUAGGUGUGGGGGACAUUCCACGUUUUCCGCGCCGUAGCUAACGCAUUAAGUGCCCCGCCUGGGGAGUACGGCCGCAAGGCUAAAACUCAAAGGAAUUGACGGGGGCCCGCACAAGCGGCGGAGCAUGCGGAUUAAUUCGAUGCAACGCGAAGAACCUUACCAAGGCUUGACAUGCAUUAGAUCGCGUCAGAGAUGGCGUUUCCCUUCGGGGCUGGUGUACAGGUGGUGCAUGGUUGUCGUCAGCUCGUGUCGUGAGAUGUUGGGUUAAGUCCCGCAACGAGCGCAACCCUCGUUCUAUGUUGCCAGCGGUUCGGCCGGGGACUCAUAGGAGACUGCCGGGGUCAACUCGGAGGAAGGUGGGGAUGACGUCAAAUCAUCAUGCCCCUUAUGUCUUGGGCUUCACGCAUGCUACAAUGGCCGGUACAGAGGGUUGCGAUACUGUGAGGUGGAGCUAAUCCCUUAAAGCCGGUCUCAGUUCGGAUUGGGGUCUGCAACUCGACCCCAUGAAGUCGGAGUCGCUAGUAAUCGCAGAUCAGCAACGCUGCGGUGAAUACGUUCCCGGGCCU
rnacentral:rRNA from 1 species